CGACAGGCUUAACACAUGCAAGUCGAGGGGCAGCACAGGUAGCAAUACCGGGUGGCGACCGGCGCACGGGUGAGUAACGCGUAUGCAACUUGCCUAUCAGAGGGGGAUAACCCGGCGAAAGUCGGACUAAUACCGCAUGAAGCAGGGAUCCCGCAUGGGAAUAUUUGCUAAAGAUUCAUCGCUGAUAGAUAGGCAUGCGUUCCAUUAGGCAGUUGGCGGGGUAACGGCCCACCAAACCGACGAUGGAUAGGGGUUCUGAGAGGAAGGUCCCCCACAUUGGUACUGAGACACGGACCAAACUCCUACGGGAGGCAGCAGUGAGGAAUAUUGGUCAAUGGGCGUAAGCCUGAACCAGCCAAGUCGCGUGAGGGAUGAAGGUUCUAUGGAUCGUAAACCUCUUUUAUAAGGGAAUAAAGUGCGGGACGUGUCCCGUUUUGUAUGUACCUUAUGAAUAAGGAUCGGCUAACUCCGUGCCAGCAGCCGCGGUAAUACGGAGGAUCCGAGCGUUAUCCGGAUUUAUUGGGUUUAAAGGGUGCGUAGGCGGCCUUUUAAGUCAGCGGUGAAAGUCUGUGGCUCAACCAUAGAAUUGCCGUUGAAACUGGGGGGCUUGAGUAUGUUUGAGGCAGGCGGAAUGCGUGGUGUAGCGGUGAAAUGCAUAGAUAUCACGCAGAACCCCGAUUGCGAAGGCAGCCUGCCAAGCCAUUACUGACGCUGAUGCACGAAAGCGUGGGGAUCAAACAGGAUUAGAUACCCUGGUAGUCCACGCAGUAAACGAUGAUCACUAGCUGUUUGCGAUACACUGUAAGCGGCACAGCGAAAGCGUUAAGUGAUCCACCUGGGGAGUACGCCGGCAACGGUGAAACUCAAAGGAAUUGACGGGGGCCCGCACAAGCGGAGGAACAUGUGGUUUAAUUCGAUGAUACGCGAGGAACCUUACCCGGGUUUGAACGCAUUCGGACCGAGGUGGAAACACCUUUUCUAGCAAUAGCCGUUUGCGAGGUGCUGCAUGGUUGUCGUCAGCUCGUGCCGUGAGGUGUCGGCUUAAGUGCCAUAACGAGCGCAACCCUUGCCACUAGUUACUAACAGGUAAAGCUGAGGACUCUGGUGGGACUGCCAGCGUAAGCUGCGAGGAAGGCGGGGAUGACGUCAAAUCAGCACGGCCCUUACAUCCGGGGCGACACACGUGUUACAAUGGCGUGGACAAAGGGAAGCCACCUGGCGACAGGGAGCGAAUCCCCAAACCACGUCUCAGUUCGGAUCGGAGUCUGCAACCCGACUCCGUGAAGCUGGAUUCGCUAGUAAUCGCGCAUCAGCCAUGGCGCGGUGAAUACGUUCCCGGGCCUUGUACACACCGCCCGUCAAGCCAUGGGAGCCGGGGGUACCUGAAGUCCGUAACCGCGAGGAUCGGCCUAGGGUAAAACUGGUGACUG
rnacentral:rRNA from 1 species